CCAAUAGCGUAUAUUAAAGUUGUUGCAGUUAAAAAGCUCGUAGUUGAAUUUCGGGAUCAGUAGGUCGGUCGUGCCACUGGUAUGAACUGGUCUCACUGGUUCCUCCCUCUUGACGAACUGCAAUGCUAUUAAUUUAGUGUUGUAGGAAAUCAGGACUGUUACUUUGAAAAAAUUAGAGUGUUUAAAGCAGGCUUUGGCUUGAAUACAUUAGCAUGGAAUAAUGAAAUAGGACGUUCGAUCCUAUUUUGUUGGCUUCUAGGAUUGACGUAAUGAUUAAUAGGGACAGUUGGAGGCAUUAGUAUUCAAUUGUCAGAGGUGAAAUUCUUGGAUUUAUUGAAGACUAACUACUGCGAAAGCAUUUGCCAAGGAUGUUUUCAUUAAUCAAGAACGAAAGUUAGGGGAUCGAAGACGAUCAGAUACCGUCGUAGUCUUAACCAUAAACUAUGCCGACUAGGGAUCGGAUGAUGUUAAUGUUAUAAUGACUCAUUCGGCGCCUUACA
rnacentral:misc_RNA from 1 species